rnacentral:rRNA from 1 species
UCACACAGGGAACAGACGGGUGAGUAACGCGUGGGAAUCUACCCAUCACUACGGAACAACUCCGGGAAACUGGAGCUAAUACCGUAUACGACCGAGAGGUGAAAGAUUUAUCGGUGAUGGAUGAGCCCGCGUUGGAUUAGCUAGUUGGUGGGGUAAAGGCCUACCAAGGCGACGAUCCAUAGCUGGUCUGAGAGGAUGAUCAGCCACAUUGGGACUGAGACACGGCCCAAACUCCUACGGGAGGCAGCAGUGGGGAAUAUUGGACAAUGGGCGCAAGCCUGAUCCAGCCAUGCCGCGUGAGUGAUGAAGGCCUUAGGGUUGUAAAGCUCUUUUGUGCGGGAAGAUAAUGACGGUACCGCAAGAAUAAGCCCCGGCUAACUUCGUGCCAGCAGCCGCGGUA